rnacentral:lncRNA from 1 species
AUGGUAAUUUCUUGAUUCUGACUUAUAGUUAUGAAUAUUCAAUGUAUUGUUCUGUGAUUGAAAAUGUUAUACCAUUAUGAUCAGGUUUAACUUAUUAUGUGGGUUAAUUUUGAUGACAUCCUACAAUACCGUUGACUGUGACCUACUUUAAUUUCAUUCGAAAGCUAAGUUUGAGAUUUUUGUGUGGUUAAGAUGCAACUGGUAAUUAGUAAUUAGUCGUGCAUUCUGUGUAUCACUGGAUUAAUAAGGGUGGUUGAAUAACUUUUGAUAUUUUCCAAUGAACAAUACACAUAAUUAAUUAUUGUUCAUCUAAUGACUUUUUCUUAAAUAUCUUUAGAGUCAAGAUGCCUUCUUUAAAUUUUAAACUUACGCUAUUUGUUCAGUGCCUCAAAUUUUUUAGUUUAGAUUUAAAACUCUAAAAGACAUUGUCAAUUUAUGGGGAGAAGUUUGCUGUUGAAAAUUUCAAAAUCAAACAUACCAGACCUGGUAGGAGAACUGCCUAUGCCCCAGAACCUCCCCUUCCCUAAUACCAUCUCACUCCAUGAUUUCAGAUUUCUAAGUUUCACUGUGUGAAAGCAUCCUUUGUGUCAUCUUAUUAUUUUUGCUCAAUUUUCAGGGCUUAGGUCUAUGGCAAAUGAUGGGCAGGACACUAAUGGUUCACAAUUUUUCAUCUGUGACGACCAACUGGUAACUAUACAAUUUAUGAUCCUGCUAUUAUGAGAAAACUGUCAUCCAUCUUCAGAUCUUCUAUCUGGUGCUUCUAUUUAGCCAGAAAAUCUAACAAAAUUUAAAUGUUCAAUAGGUUGGAUGGUCGUCAUGUUGUAUUCAGAAAGGUGCUGUCCGGAAUAGAUGUGGUGUAUAAGAUAGAAGCCAAAUGCAACUAGAGUGGAACAACCAAAAACAAAGUUGUGAUUGCAGACAGUGGUGAACUUCCCCUGUAAUCAGCUUGUACUUGAACUUGUCAGUUUUACCCUUCUACUCACUUCUGCUUACUGCAGAUUAUGGAUCUUAAUUUACAUACCUGAAUUAUGUUAUUUAGGAAAAUGAAAUAGGUACCAGAAAAGUACACUUUUUAGUUUGGCACCUAAUGAAAUAGGUACCAGAAAAGGCACGUAGAAUGUAUAUUAGGAAAGAAGAGAGGAAACAUAUGCGAUUUCUCUUACAUUAUUGACAGAGAUCAUUAGGGAUAAUGUUACCAACCUUUAGAAGGUUCGUUUUACAUUUUUUUGAUCUGUUCAGUGACCUUUCCUUUAGUUAGCAUUUAUACAAUUUCUCUCUGUCAUAAAUGCAGCAGAAAAGAAGACAAAGAAAUAGCAAGAAGUCGUAAUUGCGUAGUGAAGAAGUUUCAAAGGCACUAAGAAUGAAUUUUUUUCUGAAGUGGUAUAUACUUUUGAGAAGUAUUGAAAUGAAUUUUACAUUGAUAUAUUGUAUUAAACUGUACUCAAUAUUUAUGAAAUCUAAGAAAAACCUGGUUAUAUUUAUGGAAUUUUGUUUUGUAAUUAUUAUUAGUAAUCAAAUAAAUAAACAAUUUUUUCUUUUAAAAAAUAAAAUUUACGUUGUGCAUUUUGUACGCCGUAAAAAAAAAUACGUUACCUCGUUAAAAAACUCACCUUGCGCACGCCGUAAAAGGUUUUAACGGCUUUCAUAGAUGACAUGCAUUGCACUCCGUAAAAAGUAAAUACUUUUUUACGGCAUUGCUUUAUACGGCAUGUAGGAGUGGAUACUUUUUUCCAGAACCGGUGGAACUGGACCGAAAUCGUUUAGAACCGAUCGGUUUGGUUCCGGAUCUUCUAAAAAAUAAUUUGAUUUCGGGACAAAUUUUUAAGAACCGAUUGGUUUCGGUCUGGUUCUCGAUUUUAGUAUGGGAACCGAGGGAACCAGACGGUUCUCAUUGGACUUUUUCUUUUUUUCUUUUUUUUUUUGGUAAAAUAUAUGACUCAAUUUUCAAACUUUUAUAAAAAAUAAUCGGGUUCCUUCUUAAUUUUAGACUCCAGCACUUUCCUUCUUCACUUUGAUUCUUUCCUUGUCUCUUCUUAUAGUUCUUUGAUUAAUUGAUUUUCAAGCCAAAUUAAAAUAUUGGGUAAAUCUAUACCUAAAUAAAUUUAUUUACAAAAUAUAAUUUCAUUUAUAAGAUGUGAAAUUUUUAUUUUGUUUUCACUUUGUAAAUCUAUACUUAAAUAAAUCUUUGACUAGUAUGUUCAGUUUUUCUAUAUUUUGUUAAAAGUAUCACAUUGGUAGUAUUUUUAGAGUUUUAGUAGUGAACAUUUUAUUUUGACAUUUUCAAUGUAAAGAACCGGACCGAACUGAAUCGGAACCGAUUGGUUCGGUUCCGAUUUGGUUCCACAGUUAACUAUGGAACCAAUGGUUCAUUUCUAAAAUUCUCAUUGGUAUUUGGUUCGGUUCGAUUUCCUUUGGAAUCGGACCAAAUCGGACCGUGCCCACACCUAACGGCAUGCGGCUGCACGCCGUAAAUUGGUUUUUACGGCAUGCAAUGCUUGCAUGCCGUAAAAAGUGCAUUUUGUUGUAUUGCGUGACCAAUCUAAUGACUUUUUCUUAAAUAUCUUUAGAGUCAAGAUGCCUUCUUUAAAUUUUAAACUUACGCUAUUUGUUCAGUGCCUCAAAAUUUUUAGUUUAGAUUUAAAACUCUAAAAGACAUUGUCAAUUUAUGGGGAGAAGUUUGCUGUUGAAAAUUUCAAAAUCAAACAUACCAGACCUGGUAGGAGAACUGCCAAUGCCCCAGAACCUCCCCUUCCCUAAUACCAUCUCACUCCAUGAUUUCAGAUUUCUGAGUUUCAUUGUGUGAAAGCAUUCUUUGUGUCAUCUUAUUAUUUUUGUCCAAUUUUCAGGGCU